GUGUCAUUUGUCAUUUUUAGCGUUUCUAUUCGAUGUGAAGAUUCAAAAGUCUUUCUUUCUGAUGAUAUUUGCCUGAGUUUUGCGAGCGAUUAAAACACCGAUGACUUGUGUCAACGAUGAGUAAUCAUUGCAUAUUCAAGUUAAUUCAAAUAAGUUGUAAAUUACGGUACACACGUAUAUGCGCUUGUAUUUCGUACGAUACUCAUUUUUAUUUUGCAAUCAGUUUUACUAGCCAUAUACAGAUUUCCAAUGUAGUAUUUUUUUUGUCCUGUUCUGCAAUUUCCUCAUCCGUACGUAUAUUAUGCGUACAGACUUCUUAUUGUGACGGAGGAACGUCUUCUAACUCGAAAUAUCCUCGUUACCGAUGCAUCAUACUUGACUGUACGAGAAUCAGAAUUACUUUAUAUGGUCAGUCUUAUUGUCCGUUGUGCAAAAUGGAGCGUGAAAACUGUGAUAUUUCAUUAAAGUUUUAUCUUUGGCACAAUCAUUUCGAUCGGUCACGUCUUGAGGCGAUUACACGUGUUACGAUACCGUUCAUCUUGAAUUAGAUAAAACUGCGAAACACGCACAGCUCACAUACUCGAGCUGAAAUCUAAACAAAAAUAGGAGAUAUCUUGAGAUUAUUUUUUAACCACACGUCGCAUGUGUGUAAGCACAGCUGUUAAAUUCAAUUUUUAAAUUUCAUCGACUCGUGGGAGAAGAAACGAAAAAAAGCAAAUAAACCAAAGAAAAGAACAACACGCUCGUAUCGGACUCCGAUUAUUAUAUUUGGCUGCAAAACUGCGACCUAUGCUUGUUCGUGAUCAUAUUUAUCUACGCAGUGAAAAAUUCUUUCUCAUUUGAAAAAAAAAUGUAUUUCGUUUUUUCAUGUACAUAUACCGCAACUUUGCAUUAAAGUUUAGAAUGUGUUUCAACGCAUGGAGAAAUCGAUAUAAUUCUUAUCUUCGCAGUUCUGAUAGUGAAAAUCAAAUGUAAAUUUACUCAACGUUGAAUUUGGCAUAGGUGUAAUAUGGGUAUUAGGUAUGUACAUACUAGAAACUGCGCAGUUUUAGAUAUACGAUCUUUAAUCCAAGCAAUAAUAAUACGAAUUUUCCAAUGAGAAAUUUUAAUGAAUUUUAGUUGGUAAAAAAAUACGGUAUAAUUCCAAAUCCCAUAGUUAAUGAUGUUAUCAGCGAUCGCUCGAAUGAUUAUAAUCUACCAGAAUGAAAGCGCAAAAUUUUUCCUGAGAAACAAACAACAAUACAUUAACAUACAACGUGUCCGGAAAUAUCACGCUAUCAAAUCGACAUACACAUACAUAAUUAUAGCCUCCUGUUUACGAGUUAUA